rnacentral:lncRNA from 1 species
UAAUGUCAGUUGCAUUCACAGCUUAUCACCAACUUCUUUGAACAAUCGAACAGGAAAACACCAACAAUCAUCGGCGGUGCACUAAAUUGAAUACCAUUGAUGCUAAGUAGCUUGCCACAAGAGACUAACAUACUGUCAUUUGACCUUAAAUUUAAACACUACAUUAGUAAUGAUCUUACAAUCAAACACUACAUCUGAGAUAAAUCCAGUCUUGCCUUCCUCAUAGGGAGAUUCACUACAUU